AUUGAACGCUGGCGGCAGGCUUAACACAUGCAAGUCGAGCGGAGCGAGGGUGCUUGCACCUUAGCUUAGCGGCGGACGGGUGAGUAAUGCUUAGGAAUCUGCCUAUUAGUGGGGGACAACAUUCCGAAAGGAAUGCUAAUACCGCAUACGCCCUACGGGGGAAAGCAGGGGAUCUUCGGACCUUGCGCUAAUAGAUGAGCCUAAGUCGGAUUAGCUAGUUGGUGGGGUAAAGGCCUACCAAGGCGACGAUCUGUAGCGGGUCGGAGAGGAUGGUCCGCCACACUGGGACUGAGACACGGCCCAGACUCCUACGGGAGGCAGCAGUGGGGAAUAUUGGACAAUGGGCGGAAGCCUGAUCAAGCCAUGCCGCGUGUGUGAAGAAGGCCUUUUGGUUGUAAAGCACUUUAAGCGAGGAGGAGGCUCUUAAGGUUAAUACCCUUGAUGAGUGGACGUUACUCGCAGAAUAAGCACCGGCUAACUCUGUGCCAGCAGCCGCCGUAAAAC
rnacentral:rRNA from 1 species